GUUGAAGCAGAAAGGUGGAUUAACUUUCCUGAUUCCAAUUAUCUUUCCUGUAGUCUAUUGCUGAUAUGCUCCUGUGUCAGAAAAGAUGUCAAUUGAUGAAGAAGGGUGUUUGACUGGACUUCGUUCUGUGUUUGAGAGUUUUUCUGGAAGGUGUUCUGCGUAGCUUGGUAUUCAAAUGUCUUUAGUGUACCCAGCUACUGCCUUUUAAUUAAACACAACUACCUGAGAUUCCUGGCUAACUUACAAAGUUAAGUUUUGUUUUCUUAAAUUUUAUUUUUGUUUAAUAAUCAUUCACGAUUUUUGUGUGUCCAACUCUGAAUCUUCUAUAUAGGUUUUAUUAACAUAUUAAGCAAGUUAAGAUACUUAAAAUGAUAUUCUUCUUUAAGGUACUGUUUGAAAUUUUCAUAAAUGCAUUAGGUAAUGAUAGUUAUCCUUGUUUUUGAGGAAUGGCACAUCCCUCGAACUUUGAGAAUUGGCCAAGGAACUACUUAAA
rnacentral:lncRNA from 1 species